rnacentral:rRNA from 1 species
AGUGAACGCUGGCGGUAGGCCUAACACAUGCAAGUCGAACGGCAGCACAGUAAGAGCUUGCUCUUACGGGUGGCGAGUGGCGGACGGGUGAGGAAUACAUCGGAAUCUACUUUUUCGUGGGGGAUAACGUAGGGAAACUUACGCUAAUACCGCAUACGACCUACGGGUGAAAGCAGGGGAUCUUCGGACCUUGCGCGAUUGAAUGAGCCGAUGUCGGAUUAGCUAGUUGGCGGGGUAAAGGCCCACCAAGGCGACGAUCCGUAGCUGGUCUGAGAGGAUGAUCAGCCACACUGGCACUGAGACACGGUCCAGACUCCUACGGGUGGCAGCAGUGGGGAAUAUUGGACAAGGGGCGCAAGCCUGAUCCAGCCAUACCGCGUGGGUGAAGAAGGCGUUCGGGUUGUAAAGCCCUUUUGUUGGGAAAGAAAAGCAGCAGGUUAAUACCCCGCUGUUCUGACGGUACCCAAAGAAUAAGCACCGGCUAACUUCGUG